GUGGAGGAGUGGGUGGAAUGAAUAGUCCUGAGAGAAGAUACAUCAUCAAACUGGGAAAAUCCUGUGCCAAGAGAAAUUAGGGAAAUAGAGAGAUGGAGGAGGGGAGUAGAUGAGGAAAGGAAAGAUGAGGGAAGGAGAGAGGUAGAGGAGGGGAGUAGAUGAGGAAAGGAAAGGAGAGAGGAGGGAAGGAGAGAGGUAGAGGAGGGGAGUAGAUGAGGAAAGGAAAGGAGAGAUUAGGGAAGGAGAGAGGUAGAGGAGGGGAGUAAAUGAGGAAAGGAAAG
ensembl:lncRNA